CGUGAGGGACGACGGCCUUCGGGUUGUAAACCUCUUUUAGCAGGGAAGAAGCGAAAGUGACGGUACCUGCAGAAAAAGCGCCGGCUAACUACGUGCCAGCAGCCGCGGUAAUACGUAGGGCGCAAGCGUUAUCCGGAAUUAUUGGGCGUAAAGAGCUCGUAGGCGGUCUGUCGCGUCUGCUGUGAAAACCCGAGGCUCAACCUCGGGCCUGCAGUGGGUACGGGCAGACUAGAGUGCGGUAGGGGAGAUUGGAAUUCCUGGUGUAGCGGUGGAAUGCGCAGAUAUCAGGAGGAACACCGAUGGCGAAGGCAGAUCUCUGGGCCGUAACUGACGCUGAGGAGCGAAAGGGUGGGGAGCAAACAGGCUUAGAUACCCUGGUAGUCCACCCCGUAAACGUUGGGAACUAGUUGUGGGGACCAUUCCACGGUCUCCGUGACGUAGCUAACGCAUUAAGUUCCCCGCCUGGGGAGUACGGCCGCAAGGCUAAAACUCAAAGGAAUUGACGGGGACCCGCACAAGCGGCGGAGCAUGCGGAUUAAUUCGAUGCAACGCGAAGAACCUUACCAAGGCUUGACAUACACGAGAACGCCCUAGAAAUAGGGAACUCUUUGGACACUCGUGAACAGGUGGUGCACGGUUGUCGUCAGCUCGUGUCGUGAGAUGUUGGGUUAAGUCCCGCAACGAGCGCAACCCUCGUUCUAUGUUGCCAGCACGUAAUGGUGGGAACUCAUGGGAUACUGCCGGGGUCAACUCGGAGGAAGGUGGGGAUGACGUCAAAUCAUCAUGCCCCUUAUGUCUUGGGCUUCACGCAUGCUACAAUGGCCGGUACAAAGGGCUGCAAUACCGUAAGGUGGAGCGAAUCCCAAAAAGCCGGUCCCAGUUCGGAUUGAGGUCUGCAACUCGACCUCAUGAAGUCGGAGUCGCUAGUAAUCGCAGAUCAGCAACGCUGCGGUGAAUACGUUCCCGGGUCUUGUACACACCGCCCGUCAAGUCAUGAAAGUCGGUAACACCUGAAGCCGGUGGCCCAACCCUUGUGGAGGGAGCCGUCGAAGGUGGGAUCGGUAAUUAGGACU
rnacentral:rRNA from 1 species